UAGGGAAUCUUCGGCAAUGGACGAAAGUCUGACCGAGCAACGCCGCGUGAGUGAAGAAGGUUUUCGGAUCGUAAAACUCUGUUGUUAGAGAAGAACAAGGACGUUAGUAACUGAACGUCCCCUGACGGUAUCUAACCAGAAAGCCACGGCUAACUACGUGCCAGCAGCCGCGGUAAUACGUAGGUGGCAAGCGUUGUCCGGAUUUAUUGGGCGUAAAGCGAGCGCAGGCGGUUUCUUAAGUCUGAUGUGAAAGCCCCCGGCUCAACCGGGGAGGGUCAUUGGAAACUGGGAGACUUGGGUGCAGAAGAGGAGAGUGGAAUUCCAUGUGUAGCGGUGAAAUGCGUAGAUAUAUGGAGGAACACCAGUGGCGAAGGCGGCUCUCUGGUCUGUAACUGACGCUGAGGCUCGAAAGCGUGGGCAGCAAACAGG
rnacentral:rRNA from 1 species